rnacentral:rRNA from 1 species
GAUGAACGCUGGCGGCGUGCCUAAUACAUGCAAGUCGAGCGAACGGACGAGAAGCUUGCUUCUCUGAUGUUAGCGGCGGACGGGUGAGUAACACGUGGAUAACCUACCUAUAAGACUGGGAUAACUUCGGGAAACCGGAGCUAAUACCGGAUAAUAUUUUGAACCGCAUGGUUCAAAAGUGAAAGACGGUCUUGCUGUCACUUAUAGAUGGAUCCGCGCUGCAUUAGCUAGUUGGUAAGGUAACGGCUUACCAAGGCAACGAUGCAUAGCCGACCUGAGAGGGGAGACGGACACGAUAGGAGAGGGACACGGGCCAGACUGCGACUGGGGGACGCAGUAGGGUAUUGUGCGAGACGGGAGAGAGGAUGACGGAGCAACGACGCGUGGGUGAUGAAAGUAUUCGGAUCUGAAAACUCUGUUAUUAGGGAAGAACAUAUGUGUAAGUAACUGUGCACAUCGUGACGGUCGGUAAUCAGAAAGCCGCGGCUAACUAUG